rnacentral:SRP_RNA from 1 species
GUCGGGUGCAGUGGCGUGCGCCUGUAAUCCAAGCUGCUGGGAGGCUGAGGCUGGCGGAUCGCUUGAGUUCAGGGGUUCUGGGCUGCAGUGGACUAUGUUGAUCGGGUGUCCGCACUAAGUUCGGUAUCGAUAUGGUGUUCCUGGGGGAGCUCGGGACCACCAGGUCGUCUAAGGAGGGGUGAACCGGCCCAGGUCGGAGACGGAGCAGGUCAAAGCCCCCGUGUCGAUCAGUAGUGGGGUCGCGCCUGUGAAUAGACACUGCAGUGCAGCCUGAGUGAUACAGCGAAACUCAGACUUU